AAAUAAUAUGACUAAUAAAAAAAAUAGUUCCCUUAAAGUUGGAUGAUGAUACUGUGGUGUUCUGUAAAGCUAAUUUGUAGCAGGUUGGAAAUAGCAAGGUUCUCUUAUUUUAGAUUUCAUGGUUGUCUAUUAAUAGCUCCAAAUAUUCUCUAGUUCUAACGGGCUCGGAUUGGGAUGCUAGAAUUUAGCUAUGCCUCUUUACUUGAAUGUGAAGUUAGACUGUUUAGCUAUCAAAUACUUGCGUCUUCCUUCUAGACCAGGUAAAUUACUCAAGACUAAUUGGUUGCCAAUCAUUGUUAGAGCGAAUGGAAAUUGUCUUGAUGAAAGAGUUGAGCUUUAUCUAUUGGUGGCUGGUGUACUCUUUGUCAAUUUAGUUGAAUUGCUAGUAUCCCACGGAGUGGAUAGUGAAGAACUAUAAUGACUAACACAUGUACUUGCCCUCAUCUACACCUAACAUCUGAGAGAUCUAGUCAGCUCCAGUAUU
rnacentral:lncRNA from 1 species